AUAAAUUAUGUAAAUCUUAUAAGAAAAAAGAUUGAAGAAGGGUUUUGGUAGCAAAGGGAGUAAUUAGGGUACUAAUAUAGAUGAAUGGAGAUGAAUGAUGAAAAUCUCUAUUCCUAUUGGUCAAAAAUCAUGACCAAUGGACUUUGAGGAGGCUGCCCGAGGCCAUAUCAGGGAUUAGGGUUAAUUUCUCAGGGCCAUUCGAGCUUUGAAGGCUAGGGUCACCAAGUUUAGGUUUUUGGCUAUGAUUUUGGUGCAAGUUUUGUAUGGUUUGGAGUUUAUAUGAAGGAGAUAUAGGCGCUCAAAGUUAAGGUAUUGAUUUGGGAGCUACUGGCACUCUUUUUGUCAUAACGAGAGCGUACAGAAAGCAAUUGAAGAUCAUCGAUUGCGAUUGAAAAGAGCACUUUUGCGGCUACACUUUUUGUAUACUGCUAGCUAGAUUCCAAGUUGAAGUGAAGGAGGUAUUAGAUUUUGAAGUCAAUGCGUGCAAUCUAAGGGUAGUAAGUCACCCAAUUUACUAAUGGUUGUGUCUUGAGCUAUAUCUUGAGCAAAUUGACAAGGUUUUGGCUCAA
rnacentral:lncRNA from 1 species